AUACAACAGGUGUAGUAGACCUCACAGUGAAAUGCUGAAUACAACAGGUGUAGUAGACCUCACAGUGAAAUGCUGAAUACAACAGGUGUAGUAGACCUUACAGUGAAAUGCUGAAUACAACAGGUGUAGUAGACCUCACAGUGAAAUGCUGAAUACAACAGGUGUAGUAGACCUUACAGUGAAAUGCUGAAUACAACAGGUGUAGUAGACCUUACAGUGAAAUGCUGAAUACAACAGGUGUAGUAGACCCUACAGUGAAAUGCUGAAUACAACAGGUGUAGUAGACCUUACAGUGAAAUGCUGAAUACAACAGGUGUAGUAGACCUCACAGUGAAAUGCUGAAUACAACAGGUGUAGUAGACCUCACAGUGAAAUGCUGAAUACAACAGGUGUAGUAGACCUCACAGUGAAAUGCUGAAUACAACAGGUGUAGUAGACCUCACAGUGAAAUGCUGAAUACAACAGGUGUAGUAGACCUCACAGUGAAAUGCUGAAUACAACAGGUGUAGUAGACCUUACAGUGAAAUGCUGAAUACAACAGGUGUAGUAGACCUUACAGUGAAAU